UGAGCUCAGUAGGGUAUCGUUUGAAUACGUAAAAUUUAUCUAUUGUAUAUUCUCGAUCAUUAUAGCAUAUGCUACCUUCAUUUGUUUCGCUUUACUUCAGAGCUUUUUUAAAUUAAAAUUAUUUAGAACAUUUUUGAGUUUUCUUUUUGCCUCUUCCAAGUUGCAGAAACAGGGCCCUUUUCCAGUCUUAUCCACCCUAUCGUACUUCUGGCCUUUAUUUGUCUGUUCUCAAGGGGAUUUUUAAGAUUUCUGCAUAGCAGAUUCUUCCCGCGGGUCGUCACAUAUCUAGAUAUUCAAAACAAUGAGCUGAUGUAUAUUUUUGGUGACCCCUAUACAUUGCAGAAAUUUUAUCAAGUACGGGUGAAUGAAUGCAGUUAGUCCCAAAGCUGAUAUAUGAUCCUCAUAUUUAAUAAAACCAACAACCUCAAUUCCUAGAUUGGAUGUGUUUGAUAAGCACUGUAAUGAUAGUGACAAUAAUUUAAAUCACGCUGACUAUAAUAUAUAAUACAUUAUAAAGAAGCUUCGACAGCCUCAUCAAGGAAUGUAUGUGGAGUGUUCUAUGCAGAGCGACAUAUGGUGGCUCAAAAUUUGAAGUCGAAAGCGGAGUCUGCCUGCGUCGCAUUCUGUCAUCGAUAAUUUAUUUUCUUGGUUCGAAGGCAAGGAAGACAGGCAAACGCUCAUU